rnacentral:rRNA from 1 species
ACAGAGGGUGCAAACGUUGUUCGGAAUUACUGGGCGUAAAGCGUGUGUAGGCGGUCUCAUAAGUCGGAUGUGAAAGCCCUGGGCUCAACCCAGGAAGUGCACUCGAUACUGCGAGGCUAGAGUAUCGGAGAGGUUGGUGGAAUUCUCGGUGUAGAGGUGAAAUUCGUAGAUAUCGAGAGGAACACCGGUGGCGAAGGCGGCCAACUGGACGAAUACUGACGCUGAGACACGAAAGCGUGGGGAGCAAACAGG